UGGGGAAUUUUUGGGACAAUGGGCGAAAGCCUGAUCCAGCAAUGCCGCGUGUGUGAAGAAGGCCUUCGGGUUGUAAAGCACUUUUGUCCGGAAAGAAAUCCUUGGCUCUAAUACAGUCGGGGGGAUGACGGUACCGGAAGAAUAAGCACCGGCUAACUACGUGCCAGCAGCCGCGGUAAUACGUAGGGUGCAAGCGUUAAUCGGAAUUACUGGGCGUAAAGCGUGCGCAGGCGGUUUGCUAAGACCGAUGUGAAAUCCCCGGGCUCAACCUGGGAACUGCAUUGGUGACUGGCAGGCUAGAGUAUGGCAGAGGGGGGUAGAAUUCCACGUGUAGCAGUGAAAUGCGUAGAGAUGUGGAGGAAUACCGAUGGCGAAGGCAGCCCCCUGGGCCAAUACUGACGCUCAUGCACGAAAGCGUGGGGAGCAAACAGGAUUAGAUACCCUGGUAGUCCACGCCCUAAAACGAUGUCAACUAGUUGUUGGGGGAUUCAUUUCCUUAGUAACGUAGCUAACGCGUGAAGUUGACCGCCUGGGGAGUACGGUCGCAAGAUUAAAACUCAAGGAAUUGAC
rnacentral:rRNA from 1 species